CCCUUGAGUCCAGGAUAACCUACCGAAAGUGGGCUAAUACCGGAUAUGACCACGGGGACUACGGUCCCUGAGGUGAAAGGUGGCCUCUGUUUACAUGCUACCGCUCAUCGAUGGGCCUGCGCGCCAUUAGCUAGUUGGUGGGGUAAUGGCCCACCAAGGCGAUGAUGGCUAGCUGGUCUGAGAGGAUGGCCAGCCACACUGGGACUGAAACACGGCCCAG
rnacentral:rRNA from 1 species